rnacentral:rRNA from 1 species
AUUGAACGCUGGCGGCAAGCCUAACACAUGCAAGUCGAACGAGCGGCGUACGGGUGAGUAAUGUAUGGGAAUCUGCCUGAUGGAGGGGGAUAACUACUGGAAACGGUAGCUAAUACCGCAUACAUUCGGAUGUGCCCAGAUGGGAUUAGCUAGUAGGUGGGGUAAAGGCUAACCUAGGCGACGAUCCCUAGCUGGUCUGAGAGGAUGACCAGCCACACUGGGACGGAGAAACGGUCCAGACUCCUACGGGAGGCAGCAGUGGGGAAUAUGGCACAAUGGGCGCAAGCCUGAUGCAGCCAUGCCGCGUGUAUGAAGAAGGCCUUCGGGUUGUAAAGUACUUUCAGCGGGGAGGCGUUACCCGCAGAAGAAGCACCGGCUAACUACGUGCCAGCCGCCGCGGUAAUUC